CAAUCACAGGUCCUACGAGGUAAGAGGGAAAAGAGAGAAAGACAAAGGAGAAAACACCCCUCCCAGAACAAUACAGGACGUAACACUAUAGUACAAGAACAAGUAGUGUAUGCGUGUGUGACAGAGAGAGGUUAAGAGAGAAAGAAAUUAGUCCACAUCAGACUGGCAGUUAUGGCAUGUAUAAUUGGCUCCCCCAUCAGGACAGGCCUGGUGACCCAUGCCUUGCAUUGCCAGCACUGUACCCAAACCUCUCUUGGUUUCGAGUAACUCUGCAAACAAACAAUGCAGAAGUCCUCUUCUUUGUCAGAGUGGAAGUGGUUGAUCUACAACAGGUGGAGACAGGAGAGCCGCAGACGGCAUAGGUGGCACUGGUGGAUCUGCAGGAGGUGCAGGCGGUCCAGAUGGAACUGGUGGAGCUGCAGUAGAUGGAGGAGGACGGUCCGUCACCAAAGAUGGUGCAAAGUCAAUAUCUUGGAAGACCUCACGAUUAAAUGGCCAAAUGCCAGUGCACCUAAAACCUGACUGCACAUUUGCUGGUGUUGCUGCCAAAGGGAGGGCCAAACUAACAAUGCCAGGAAUGUCAUAAAUUGACAUUGUCAUGCCUGGCUCUUCAUCCACAAGUCACAGAAGUCCAGUGGCUGAAGUUUGUGAGAGCAGUGAGGUGGAAAGGAAAGCAAGACAAUUCCAUUGUCUCUGCAGAAAUGUAUUCCUCUCAGAGACAGAUGGGAUGAGUGGUUGUCCAGUAUUAGCAGGACUUUAGCAUCCACUGAGGACUUUGUGUGGUGUUGGAAGUGUUUCAGGAAAACAAUAAAGUCCUCCUCCAGCCAUCACGAAUAAAAUGUUGUUUAAAAUGGACACGAGGGAAUUCAAAGUGGGGUGGGAUCGUAUUCCCCAGUGCAUUGACUGCACAAGCAAGGGUCACAAGUGUCCCUCUUUCUGCUGAUGUGGAUGACCCAACCUGUCUAACGCCACGCCUGGCAACAAUAUUUCCUGGGUUUUGGACUGUUGUAACCCCUGUUUCAUCCAUGCUCCACACAUCUUUGGCAUGAAAUUGUGCUUAUCUAACACUUUACCUUGAUUGUCAAAAAACUGGAAAACAUUAUGUCUAUUAAAACUUGUGGCUCUGGAUAAACUGGUAGGUUGUGGGCUCCGUAUGGAAAGACAGGGCUGCCUCUUCAUAAAACCCAAGAACCAUAGCUGGCCAUGGAGUUGUCAUUCCAUUUUUCAGGGUAAUUACAGUUAUAAUGAACAGCCAGCUGGAAAGCAAAAUGACGAACCUGAAAAAUUGAAGAAAUAUAUGAAAACCUAAACAGUGUUUAUGGUUUAAUAUAUUCUCUCAAUUUCUUUUUACUUCACUGUCUGAUUCUCCCAACUAGUCUUCCUUCCUCUGUUUUACUCUGAUAGACAACCUCUUUCAACACUUUCUUGUUUACAUAAUAUGCUUUUUUUAUACCUUCCUCUUGCUUACCUCUUUGGUGUUUAGGCCAUAGAAUAG